UACGUAGGGGGCGAGCGUUGUCCGGAUUUAUUGGGCGUAAAGAGCGUGUAGGCGGUUCGGUAAGUCUGGCGUGAAAUCCUGAGGCUCAACCUCGGGCGUGCGAUGGAUACUGCCGGGCUAGAGGGUGGUAGAGGCGAGUGGAAUUCCUGGUGUAGCGGUGAAAUGCGCAGAGAUCAGGAGGAACACCAAUUGCGAAGGCAGCUCGCUGGGACGUUACUGACGCUGAGACGCGAAAGCGUGGGGAGCAAACAGG
rnacentral:rRNA from 1 species